CUCAAUAGAACAUGUUAUCCUUUGGAUACAUUUCGUACUUGUAUGUCUUCCUCGUAUGUGUCCGCAUACAUUCUCAGGACACAGAGAUUUUCUUGAACCUCCAAGAAAUUCGGAGCAUGCCUGCACUUGAAAAGAAAAAAAAAACAAUGAAUGUAUGGAUGGAUGAACAAAAAUGAUCUUAUCAGGAAGUAUAUCCAAUUACUUAAGGAAUUGCUUAAGGAAUGCAGGCAAAUUAUCACGUGGAUGACAGAGAAGGGAGAGCUGAUGAUAUGAGGUUGUGCCUACUGAGCACGGAGGGAGUGGACCAUGACCUUUACUGCUAGAUGAGGAAGCAUUUGGAAUAUGGAACACAGCACUGUGUUCUUCCCACACUCUCCCAGCUGAAGAAACAGUCAUUAAGUUCUCCCACUCCUGAGGCCACCAAGUUCUCAUCCUUCAAAAUGAAAUCAACGUGAUCCGAAUGUUGCUCAAAUCAGCAUCUGAGAGGGAGGAGAAAGGUCACUCAUGAAUGGAAUCAAGCUCUGACUACUUUGCAAAUAAUCAAGUCACACUAUGCUCUGACAUUCAAAAUAAUGUCAAUAUGGAAAGAGACAGUAUGCUACCUAUGAUUUCUUGAGCUUCUUGAAUUAAUGGAGAUCCUGUUGACCUUUGAGGAAGACUAAAGUCCUUUUUUGAUUCCAGGCCACAUAAGCCAGAGAUAAUGGAGAUUUAUGUUUUAAGGUGCUUCCAUGGCACUGUGUCCACAUCCUUAAGUAAUUUUGAGGUAUUAUUUGGUUGUGCUGAAUAAUGCAGAAUAAUAAAGUUUGACACAAACCAAA